rnacentral:rRNA from 1 species
UACGAGGGGUGCAAGCGUUAUUCGGAUUUAUUGGGCGUAAAGGGUGCGUAGGUGGUAUGUUAAGUCUGUUGUUAAAUUUUCCGGCCUAACCGGAAGCAUGCAAUGGAAACUGGCAAACUUGAGGAUGGAAGAGGGAAGUGGAAUUCUCGGAGUAGCGGUAAAAUGCGUGGAUCUCGAGAGGAACACCGAUGGCGAAGGCAGCUUCCUGGUCCAUAUCUGACACUGAGGCACGAAAGCGUGGGGAGCAAACAGG